CAAAGGAAGGGUCUUUCCUCCCUCAUCCACCUUGAUGGUUGGGAAAUCUGGAAAGAAAGAAAUGCGCGUGUCUUUAGGAACAAGGCGGUGGCGGUGGCGGUGAUUGUUCGAGCUAGUAAGGAACAAGUAACACUUUGGGGUUUUGCGGGUGCCAAGCACUUGAGUCAUGUAAUGCCGCAAGAGUAA
rnacentral:rRNA from 1 species